rnacentral:snRNA from 3 species
GUACUCAGCAGCACAUGUAUUAAAAUUGGAAUGAUACAGAGAUUAGCAUGGCUCCUAUGCAAAGAUGACACACAAAUUGAGUAUUGUUUUU